CCUACGGGAGGCAGCAGUAGGGAAUAUUGCUCAAUGGGGGAAACCCUGAAGCAGCAACGCCGCGUGGAGGAUGAAGGUUUUCGGAUUGUAAACCCCUUUUGUCAGAGAAGAUAAUGACGGUUACCAACGAAUAAGCACCGGCUAACUCAGUGCCAGCAGCCGCGGUAAUACGGAGGGUGCAAGCGUUAUUCGGAAUUACUGGGCGUAAAGAGGGCGUAGGCGGGAUAGCAAGUCAGAUGUGAAAUCCUAUGGCUUAACCAUAGAACUGCAUUUGAAACUGUUAUGCUGGAGUAUGGGAGAGGUAGGUGGAAUUCUUGGUGUAGGGGUGAAAUGCGUAGAGAUCAAGAGGAAUACUGAUUGCGAAGGCGACCUACUAGAACAUAACUGACGCUGAGGCUCGAAAGCGUGGGGAGCGAACAGGAUUAGAUACCCCAGUAGUC
rnacentral:rRNA from 1 species